CGGGUGGGUAACGCGUAGGUAACCUGCCUGGUAGCGGGGGAUAACUAUUGGAAACGAUAGCUAAUACCGCAUAAUAGUAGAUGUUGCAUGACAUUUGCUUAAAAGGUGCAAUUGCAUCACUACCAGAUGGACCUGCGUUGUAUUAGCUAGUUGGUGAGGUAACGGCUCACCAAGGCAACGAUACAUAGCCGACCUGAGAGGGUGAUCGGCCACACUGGGACUGAGACACGGCCCAGACUCCUACGGGAGGCAGCAGUAGGGAAUCUUCGGCAAUGGACGGAAGUCUGACCGAGCAACGCCGCGUGAGUGAAGAAGGUUUUCGGAUCGUAAAGCUCUGUUGUAAGAGAAGAACGAGUGUGAGAGUGGAAAGUUCACACUGUGACGGUAUCUUACCAGAAAGGGACGGCUAACUACGUGCCAGCAGCCGCGGUAAUACGUAGGUCCCGAGCGUUGUCCGGAUUUAUUGGGCGUAAAGCGAGCGCAGGCGGUUAGAUAAGUCUGAAGUUAAAGGCUGUGGCUUAACCAUAGUACGCUUUGGGAACUGUUUAACUUGAGUGCAAGAGGGGAGAGUGGAAUUCCAUGUGUAGCGGUGAAAUGCGUAGAUAUAUGGAGGAA
rnacentral:rRNA from 1 species